GGCCAGUUAGCUCAGCUGGUCAGAGCCUGGUGCUAAUAACGCCAAGGUCAUGGGUUCAACCCCCCAUACUGGCCA